rnacentral:miRNA from 1 species
AAGAGGUUUCACACAUACAAAU